AACUUAUCGUUUUGCGCUAAAAUACAUCAAUGUGUGUGAAAUUCGUUGUCAUUGCUUUUGUUUUGAACAUCAUAUUCGUGCCUGCCGGUGGAAAAAUUAGAGCGACAUAUUAGUGCAUUGGCUCGGAGAAAUAAAUGAAGCGCUACUGGAGGCAAAUUAAAAUAUCUCCCUCAGCAAAAAUGAGACUCUCGAUCA